UACGUAGGGGGCAAGCGUUGUCCGGAUUUCAUUUGGGCGUAAAGAGCGUGUAGGCGGCCAGGUAGGUCGGUUGUGAAAACUGGAGGCUCAACCUUCAGAGGUCGACCGAAACCAUCUGGCUAGAGUCCGGGAGAGGAGAGUGGAAUUCCUGGUGUAGCGGUGAAAUGCGCAGAUAUCAGGAAGAACACCCGUGGCGAAAGCGGCUCUCUGGAACGGUACUGACGCUGAGACGCGAAAAGCGUGGGGGAGCGAAACAGGG
rnacentral:rRNA from 1 species